rnacentral:rRNA from 1 species
GACGAACGCUGGCGGCGUGCUUAACACAUGCAAGUCGAACGAUGAAACCUAGCUUGCUAGGUCGAUUAGUGGCGAACGGGUGAGUAACACGUGACUAACCUGCCCCUUUCUCUGGGAUAACGCUCCGAAAGGAGUGCUGAUACCGGAUACUCACACCGAGGCACAUGCCUUGGUGUGGAAAGUUUUUCGGAAAGGGAUGGAGUCGCGGCCUAUCAGCUUGUUGGUGAGGUAACGGCUCACCAAGGCGACGACGGGUAGCCGGCCGGAGAGGGCGGCGGGCCACACGGGGACUGAGACACGGCCCAGACUCCUACGGGAGGCAGCAGUGGGGAAUAUUGCACAAUGGGCGCAAGCCUGAUGCAGCGACGCCGCGUGAGGGAUGAAGGUCUUCGGAUUGUAAACCUCUUUCAGUAGGGACGAAGCGAAAGUGACGGUACCUAAAGAAGAAGCACCGGCUAACUACGUGCCAGCAGCCGCCGUAA